CGUAGAGCACUUGAUUUAUUGUUUAGGUAAGGGCCGCCCCUGGAGGCGGUCAGUCGGUGAAAUCAUGUACACAAAAUUCAAAAACCAUAUAUAGAGAGAGAAAUGGCGACUGCUAGAAAGAGUGCAUCGGCCAUGGAGGCAUUCGUGAAGCUUGAGAAUGUAGGGGAGGGGACUUACGGAAAGGUGUAGAAAGCGAGAAAUAGGGUUACUGGCGAACUACUGAAGAAGACGAAGCUUCCCGAGGACGAGCAAGGUGUUGCUACCACUACUCUCCGCGAGAUCUCUCUUCUGCGGAUGCUCUCUAACGGUUCUCACAUUGUCAAACUGAUGGAUGUUAAACAAGGCCAGACCAAAGAAGGAAAGACGGUUCUUUACUUGGUGUUUGAGUACAUGGAUACAGAGAAGUGUUACGAACAUUUCGUCGUCCUCGGGAAGCUUCUUCUUCUUCAGUGCUACGAUUACUUAAUUGCUUGAAAUUUCUUUGCAAACUCGUUUCUCUGCGAUUAGGUAUUAUAUCUGUUUCAAUUAAUUUGUCCCUUUUCACUUUAGUUUUGUAAUUUGUUUUCGGCAUUUGAUAUCAGUAUCCUGUGUUCUGAUAUGAUGUUCUAUAAAUAUAUAAAUCAGACUGAUGGAUGUUAAACAAGACCAGAACAAAGAAGGAAAGAUGGUUCUUUACUUGGUGUUUGAGUACAUGGAUACUGAUGUCCAGAAAUUUAUUCAUAGUUUCCGCGCAAAGAGACAAAACAUUCCCCCUAAAAUUGUCAAGGUUUGUAGUCGGAAUGUUUGAGCAAUAUGCUCAAAGUAUGUACUCUGUUAAAAAAGAGAAGUCGUGCUGCAUAUAGUUUUGUUUUAGACUUCUGAUUUCUGUGACAUGUGCAUCUUUUCUUAUUUGGUAGGAGUAUAGAACAAUGAAGCACCUUUUUUUUUUCUUCUUUCAAAUCACUCUAAAUAGAGCUCUCUGGACAAGGUUCCACUGCUUUUAGAGAUAAACAGAAGCUCUUAUACUUCUAUCACAGCCGUUUAGCAUAGGUACACUCAAAAUUAGGUGUUAAUUUGUUUCUCUUGCUGCUUGACGAAGGCAACGGAAUAUUUGUCACUUUUCACCACAGAAAUUUUAUCUUGAUACUCAACCUGCUGGUGCAUACUAGCACUUAAAUGAUUGGUUGUAGUUAUAGCAUGGUAUACUUUUCUUUUACAAUAUAAACCAAGGAACUCUAUUUUCCUUCUUCUGAGAUGCUCGUAAGCACUUCACAUGGCACAGUGUUGUGGCUGCAAAUUUUUGGGCUUGAUCAUUCCCUUGUUUUGGCAGGAUAUUCAUAGAUGCAAUCCGACUAGUACUUUCAGGAGUACGCCUCUUCCUCGAGGGCAUUUGCGUUCUCCAUCUUUUUCAUUAAUCCCAUUCACAAUAGAAUUAGGAGUAAGACCUGACUUUCAAAAUUUGUUGACUACUUUGUAGGGAUGGGCAUGCUCUUGGUACCAAUUUAUCUGUUAUGAAAAGGGAUAAUUCAUUUGAUAGGAAACCUUUCUUAUGCCUGUUUACUGAAGAAGGGGAAAAAUGAAAAAUGUGUUACAAUAUUGACAGUUUUAAUGCAUUUAAAGUUCUGCAAUAUUUGUAUGAAACUUGGGCUGCUUUGCUUUCAACAAUCUCUACAAGACUUCUGGUUUUCCUUUGAUUAGCAUGGGACUAAAAACAAUUUUGUAUGGACGACUUUACUUGAACAUGAUCUGUUUUAUAGGCUCAUACCACGGCAUCCUUGAGUUUUAAGGAGACAGGAUUGAAAAAUGGUGGAUGAACCAUGGUCAUUAGACCUAAGUGUGAUUAACAGCUCCCAUGAUUCUCAGGUCUGAGCCGUAGAGGUUCGUUCCGGGAUGGACUAAUGGCUGUCUAACAGGCUCUUUAAAAAAAAUGAGAGGGCUAGGAUUUGGAAUUAUUUGAGUUUACAAAUUCCAGAGGAGAGGAUAAUGUAUAAUCUUAAAAAAAUCUGCAGUUCCUCCUAGAUGCUGGAAUUACCUACAUAAACGUGUUGCUUUAAGAACACUAAUUCCUAGCAAUGUGCCAAUUGUAAAGGGAAAAUUCCCAAAAAGGUGGUUGUUUCCCAAAUAUAAGUGUUCUAACUCAGUAACUUAGCAAAUCAGUAGAGAACUUUUACAGAUAAGAAGUUGUCAGGGAAGUCAAGGUAUAUCAGGUCAUCUGUAUAAUUGAACAAGGUAACAAGGUAACUGGCCUUGGAAACAUGUAAUGGUAACAAGUGUUCAGACUCUACUUAAUAAUUAUCCCUUGAUUGUCACUUUCAUCAUUGAGCGUCGUUAUUGGUUGAAAAAGAUUGAAUUGCUGAAUCUUCAAAAGAUCAAGACAGUUUCCAUAAGGGCAAAAGGGCACCAACGUGUUAAAAUCCAAGCCCCAACUCUUCAACAUUUGCUUUUAUUUUUUAUGCUUCAGAAGAUUCUCCUGACUUGGAUAUUGUUGAAUGUAAAUCUGAAAUCUUUAGAGCUAUCACUUGUGAGGAUAUCUGAUGGAUUUCUCGAGCACAUUAUUUCUAGAUUUCAAUCCCUUGAGAGUUUGACAUUACAUCAUGUUGGGCUGGAAAGGAAAGGUUCAACAUUAGUGGGGAGUCGAUCCCUAAAGGACUUGAAAAUUUGUUCUUAUACAAGCAUAGGAGAAAUUGAUGCUCCAAAUUUGGUGUCACUUGAGUAUGUGGGAUAUCCUAUUCCUGAGCUUAAAAUUGCAGAAGAGUCAAGCCAAUUGAAGCACUCAAAUAUUGAACUUGCUAUUCAUAACAAUUUAAGUGCGGCUUUUUUAUGUAAGUUGAGGAAACUUCUAUCAAAUUUGACCUCUUGGUCUCAACCUUUCCUUUAUUUUUACAAAUGCAAUGAGAUCAAGUAGGAAGAUUUGCAACUGCACCAUAGAGUUGCUACCCCCCUAAUUGGGUGUUUUAAAUAUAAGUAUUAUAAGGUCGUCUGAGGAGUGCCCGACUUUUGUGGAUGCUUUGUAUGGAAUUGUCAUCCUAGGAAACUCAUCCUAACCUCAACUAUUGAAAUGAUUACAUGCUUCAUGGAUCAUUUAAUGUAUAUGAAGAAUUCAGAGUCAUUCUACUUCUCAUGGAAUCAAGCCUUGGCAUAGUCAAUUUAAAGAUGUAAAAGCCACAUGAUUGAUCAAAAAGAUCAGCUUGUGGAACUCAGAAGUAGAGAGGUGGCAGUGAGGAAUCUCAGUGAGUGGAAGCAUUUUUGUUUUGUAUUAGAAUGGUUAGCAGUUAAUUCUAUUGUAAAUUGAAUUCACUUAUUCAUUUAUAAAGUUCAUUAAUUUAUACU